CGAAAUUAAGAUCCGUAAAUUUUCCCUGAAACUAGACUCACAUAUCAUUCCACAUAAAAUUUUCAGAAUUUUUGGUUUAGCCAAUUAGUACAGUUUAUUUAUUUAAUUUUCCCCUGUUUCACUAUCCUACGGUUCUGACCUCUCUUCACUAAAAAUUAAUUAUAUCAUAGUACAAAACUCGGAUAAUGUUCCCAUUGAUUUCUAUUGAAAAUAGACUCAUUAAGGAUUCUAAGAAUAUAAAUUUGAGCCUCUAAUUAAUUUUAUCCAAUUUUUGGUGAUUUUCCAAAGUCAAAACAGGGGAACCCGAAUUCGUUCUAACCUUGUCUCACAAAAUUCAUUAUA
rnacentral:lncRNA from 1 species